AUGGCCUCCUCCCACUCCAGCAUCGACGCCGCUCUCAAGAAACUACCAAAGAAGAAGGGCCUGCGGGGAGCCAAGGACGCGAAUGGGGAAACCAUGCUUCAUUUCGCUUCGAGCCAGGGCUGCCUGGUGAGCUGCCUGUUCCUGUUCCUGGUGGAGGAGGCGGGGCUUGAUGUCAACUCGGAGUCAAAGACAGGUGUGACACCCAUGGUCCUCGCCGCACUCCAGGGAAAUGUCGAGGUUACGAGGUACCUUCUUGAUCAUGGCGGUGACCCUGCGAUGCCCGAUGAGAGGGGCUCCACGCCGCUGCACAAUGCAGCAGCGGCAGGGCACUGCGAGGCUGUAAGGCUAUUGCUGUCGAAAGGAGUUAAUCUGGAUCCUAUCCAUUACCAAGGGGACACCAUUACACUUGGCUGCUGUGGAGGACCAAGAUCAGGUUGUAAUGGUUCUGCUGGAGCAUGGGGCUGA
rnacentral:rRNA from 1 species